AGAAAGAUGCCGAGUCUGGGGAGU
rnacentral:piRNA from 1 species